UAUCCUCAUCCUUCAUAACUUUUUGUUAUCGAAGGCAUGGACUUGGAGGUCGUGCUGGUUCCUCGUUGAAUCGGCUCCUCUUAAAUGUAUUAGCGUGAGUGUAACGGAUCGCUUCGGUGUGAUAAUUAUCUGCGCCGUGGUCGUGAAGUAACAUAAGCUUGCGCUUCUAACCGUCCUUAAGCUGGACAACAUAACUUUGAC
rnacentral:misc_RNA from 1 species